GCCGGAUGUUAAAAUCCGUCAGUAAAUCCAUUGCAUUUUAAUGUCAUAUAUUCUAGGGCACAAAUUUAUUUCCACAUUUUCAAGCUCCCACUCCAAAGAAACCUUUAUCAGGCUCCAUCUCCAUUGAAUUUUUCCAAGUAUCGCUGCAAGCUCCAUUGAAGUUCUCCCUCUCCUUUUCAAGUCUCUACUGUUAGCUUUCUAAGCCUUCAUGUAGGCUCAAUCUCCCAUCUCGAUUUCAAUUUAGUUUAGCUCUCCAUCUCAAUAGGGCUGUGGUAUUUACAAAAUGGGUAGUUUUAACUUUUCUAUCUGCAAAAUAUGAAUCCCAACUCGUUUCUGCAUUUGGAUGUACUUAUAUUCGCUGAAUUUGGAAUCAUGUUAUUAUAACCUCAUCACUAAGGCUUGUUUGAUAUUUGCUUGAAGCUAAAACCUUCUAAAAUAUAACGUGAUUUCUUUUGUAUAGACUAUUGAAAAAGUUUGAGAUUCAACAUCAAGUGAUUUAUAUCGACAUGUUCAUAUGAAAAAUCAUUUGUUGGUGAACGUUCUCGAAAUGUCCAUUGUACUUUAGGUGUUGUUUGAGGCUCUUCACUCGAGCAUGAACUUCUUCUUAUUGCUACAUCGACCACAUUCACUCCAUUGCCUGUCAUGCUUACUUGCAACUAGUACAUCAAAUAACAAGAAGAGAUUAAUGAGCCAGAACUCUGAAGAUAAGUAAUAUAAUUUGCAUUUGUAAUACCUCAAAAUCAUGAAUAGGCACCAAUAAUGACAUAGCAUUCUUGUUAUUUGAGUUUUGAUAGAUUACUUUACAGUUUUUUCAUAUAGAAGAAAUGAAUGAUCGGUAAAUUUUAGUCUUUGUAGUUUUCUGGAUGUGCAUUGUAUUGCAGUAUUCAUAGAAUUGAUUUAUACUAUCUGCUUUGAUUAGACAGUUAUUAGUAUACACCUCUGGUUAUAACCAACUGAAGAAGUUUGAUAGUACUCCUGUCAAUAUGCAUAAGUUAGUAUUGUGGCAUAUAUAUAAACUACUUUAGUUGGUAUGAGUAGAAGAAUGACAUAAACUUUAAUAAGUUGGUAAUCACACGUUUCCUAUAUCCUCCAAGAGAAUAGACAGAUUGUAGCUACUAAUUUUGGGGACAAGUUUCUGAUCUAGAAAAAUAUCGGUUAUCUUUCAGAUUAUUCGAAAAGAGGCCGAGAAUAUCUCAUUAUGCGUAAAGUACUGUAGUCUAGCAGUUGCUAUACUUUGUGUCAGGCUUUUGUUGCGAUUCUUAUGUCAUUUUAGUGUGAAUCUAGUGCAGUUGUUUUCAUGUAAUUCUGAUGUUGGUUGGCUAAUUUUUGAGUGUUUCUGGUGUUGUUUGAUAACAGAAAUCAGUUUGUUUUGAGGUUCAUCUAUUCUAGAAAUGUGCGAGUUCAAGUAUGAUCUUUAUUCUGCAAUACAAAGGAGUUCAAAAUUAUAUGUCUAAGUUAAUUACUACAACUUAUAAAUGACAUUUCAUGGACCAACUAAUAUAAGUUGCACUGUCACCAUUUCAUUGAAUUUUCCUUGCAACAAUUAUCAACUAAUACUAUGCGCUAGAGUAUUAUAUGCACAUGGAAAUCAGAUAGCCUAUUUUGCUAUAGCAACACAGUUCUUUCCUUGGAAGAUAAUAGAGAUGUCUUUUAAGCUUAAAAGCUUGUGUGUUUUUAUGCAUUUUCCUUAAAAAAUUAUUUUGUUCCCUAUCUUUUAAUGCUUUCUCAUUUUCUCUAGUUAUUAUAGGAAAAAUAUGAAGAAAUAUUACGGAAAAACAGUGUAUCAAUCUGAUAUUGAUAUUGAUCAAUGUGAAGCAUAUUAUCAAGUUGCGGGGAGAGAAAAGAAAAGAAGAAUAUACGGUCUUGGAUUUGAAGCAAGAAUUUAUUAGGGGCAAAAUCUUUAUGGUUCAUAAUCAUUACCACCUUCAUUUUCUCAAUCAACAUCGAUAACAAAUAUGGAUGAGUUUGUAAAGCAAAUGAUGUCUGCACUAACUAGUCAUCUUGUUCCUAUUAUUGUUGAGCAGGUGCAAGCAUCGAUUACUCCAUCCGGCAAUCCAUCGAUUGUGACACCCAUAGUGCCUGUUGUUACUAAUGUGGACGAGGUUGAUACCUUAAUUUCAAGUGAAGAUCGUAUCCCUUAGUCUCCCACAACUUUAGUUUUUGAUGAUGUCAUAUUUUUUUGAACGAAUUGCGUAGCAAUAUUUUGAUGAACGUAGGUUCAUUUAAUAGCACUUGAUAUAUUUCUUUGGAUAUAUUUAACAAAAAAAUAUGUGGUUUUGAAGUUUUCUAUUUAUAUAUUAUGAAUUGGCUAUGA